AUUCCCGCGUAUGUACUUGUUAAGCCUUUAAGAAAGAAGUUUAUAACUUAAGGAAUUAUAACAAAGAAGUAACACAUAAUAAGGUUGCCUUAUUUAGUGUGUAUCAAUCGAGUUUCUGACCUAUCAGCUUUUGAUGUUAGGGUAUUGGCCUAACAUGGCUAUGACGGGUAACGGGGAAUUAGAGUUCGAUUCCGGAGAGGGAGCCUGAGAAAUAGCUACCACAUCUAAGGAAGGCAGCAGGCGCGUAAAUUACCCAAUUCUAAAGAAGAGAGGUAGUGACAAGAAAUAACAAUACAAGGCCAUUUCAUGGUUUUGUAAUUGGAAUGAUGGGAAUUUAAAACCUUCCCAAAAUUCAAUUGGAGGGCAAGUCUGGUGCCAGCAGCCGCGGUAAUUCCAGCUCCAAUAGCGUAUAUUAAAAUUGUUGCAGUUAAAACGCUCGUAGUUGAAUUUCAAAGAAUCAAUAUUUUAAGUAAUACUUUUGCUAUAAGAUGCUUAGACAAUACAACGUAUCUGUUCUUUGCAUUCCUUAUGCAAAAUGUGUUCUUAUUAUAAAAAGGAUUCUUUUUAAAAUCUCUUUUGCUAUUUUUUAGUAUUGGAGAUUUUGUUACUUUGAGUAAAUUAGAGUGUUCAAAGCAAACAGUUAAAGCAUUUUACUGCGUUUGAAUACUACAGCAUGGAAUAACAAAAUUGAACAAGUCAGAAUUCUGUUCUUUUUUCUUAAUUUGGCU
rnacentral:rRNA from 1 species